rnacentral:lncRNA from 1 species
AUGCUGAGGCAUGCGAUUGGCGGCGGAGGGGAGGGGUUACUUGCUCAGAGCGCAGACUGGGAGCUCAGGGGCAGGAUUCCCACCAAGGCCUUGGCUCCGGAAUCCGCAACUCUUUGCUCGUCUGUGAGAUGGGCCUCAAAGGACACGGUACUCACCCGGAGGGUGGGCCCAGGACUGAACGCCUGGGGGUGCUUGGGACUGCUCGUGACUACGAUGGUGACUGCUGCGGGGCAGGAGGAGGGUCCGGGCUGGUUCCCGAGAGGUGUUCGGGGUCUGUUCUUAGGAUGUGUGCUCUUUGCAAAUGAUCCCCAAGGGGGUUAUGAAACCCCAAGGGGAACGUGCCAAGCCCUGGCCGACCGGGUGGGCAAGAAUGGGGCCAGGCUGGGAGGUCUGGCGUCGGACACGUGCUCGGGGGAGAACCCAGGGGCCUGGCAAGCUUGGAAAAGGUCCUGCAAAAAGGAGCCCGUGUGGGCCACAUGAUGCCCGGAGGUGGUGGGAAUUUCUGCAGCAGGUGGCUCCAGAGCGUCCUGAAGAACUGACCUAGGAGGACCCCCGCCCCUACCACGCCCCAAGCUGGGGAGUGGGCAGACCCCUGGGCCCCACGCCCACCAAGUAGGGAGCCCUCCGGGGCCUCUCCGAGCCUCCGUCCUCAGCCGUCCUGGUGGCUUGUGUCCUGAACUUGUGAGGCUGGGCUGGGUGUCCGGGGUGAUGUUGGAGCCAGCUCAGAGCCUGACCCCACGUAGCUGCUGUGCAAUCGCAUCCCCCCGUCGUCCCCGAGACCCCAGCUCCAGGCCCGGCUGGAGGCCCGCGAGUCCUGGGAGGUCCUCUCGAGAGAGUUCAGAGCCCCGAUCUCAGCUAGGGACCAGUGCGGGUUCUCAGGCAGCACUGCCCCCCCGGGGCACCACGCCUGAGGCUGGAGGGCACAGAGGUAGGAAGGGAUGUGCCCAGCCUGCCGCCCAGGGCGCAAACACAGGCGGGGCCACUGGCAGGGUCCCCCGGCUUCGUAGGGCUCCAGGGCAGAUCUGAAGGAGACAGGAUGCCGCCCCGGCUCCUCCAGGGCUGGNNGCCCUCCUGCUGGCUUCAUUUAGCCCAGCCAGCCCCGGCUGGGGACACCCUGCCCCGAGCCCAGGGCCGCCGUGGGGAGGCUUGGUGCCACGUCGGGAGCAGUGCCUUCCUGGGACUGUCAGCCAGGCUGCAGGGGGGCAGCGGUUAAGCCAUGAGUGCCCGCCCCUCACUGGCCAGGCCUCAAGUCCCAACCCUCCACCCCUGGCUCAGUUCAGUUCAAUUCAGUCGCGUCUGACUCUUUGCGACCCCAUGAAUCGCAGCACGCCAGGC